rnacentral:lncRNA from 1 species
CUCACAGCGGCUGGCGGGGCCACACUCCAGCCCGCAGCUGCCCUGGUCCUUCGCCGAGCUGCUGCCGCCCGCGCGGUACGCGCCGCUGGAGCUAGGGUGGACCUUGGUGCCCCGCUCCUGCGGCCGGGCAUUCGGGAAAGUUGCGGGGCCGAGGAGACUGCUAGAGGCGGGGGCGUGGGCCUGGCAGCCCGCGGGGAGGUGAGCCGAGGACAGCGCCGCCCGCAGCCAGGAGCAGGGGCGGGCGCGGAGGUGGCGGGGGACACAAGGUGUCAGCUCCGGCAGCGGCGCCUUGUUCCGCGGAACGCGCAUCCCUGCGCCCCGCAGGCCCUCCUCCCUACCCUCUUGGCCCCAGGCCGACCCUCCUGCUACCCGGGGAAACCCGACUCGCCGCCACGGGGUCUUCGCCCACCGCCCGGGUCGCCUCGUGCGCGCCGCAGCUCCCGGGAAGGGCGCGCGACCCCGGAGAGCGCGCGCCGCCCCCGCGCCCCGCUGUGUCCAGCUGCGCCCCAGCCCCACGCGCGACCCUCCCCGCCCCCGCGCGCCCUGGGGUCACGGCUCUUACCGCGCGCCCCGCGCUCCAGCCGCCGCCGUCCUCCGCGCGGCCGCCGCUGCCCACGCGCCUCCCGGGCCCAGUCGGCGUGGCCGGGUACGCGGCGGCCGAGGUCCCCGCAGGUCCCGCCGCCGCCGCCGCAGACGGUUAUGGAAAUGAGCCGAUGUGUCUGGCGAGGAGCGCGAGAAACCCGUCAAUCCUGUUUGCCAUUUCCCCGCGGAUUUCCGAGCCCGGCUCUGCUGGAUGCCCCCGGGGCGAGAGGGAACCUGACAAGCGCGCUCCCCGCCUCCCUCCGCUCUGCCAGAUCGCGGGGCGCCGCGCCCCCGCCCGCCCUGCCUCCGCCCCCGCUCCGCCUCCGCCCUCGGGGCCGCGCGGGCCGCUCCCGCCCGCAGCCCGGACCCCACGCGCGCAGCCCGCGGGAGGCAGGGGCUGCAACGCACGAAGCGUUCAUCGCAACCUGCCCAGACGUCUUGUCUAUUUUUUAA